rnacentral:rRNA from 1 species
UACGGAGGAUGCAAGCGUUAUCCGGAAUUAUUGGGCGUAAAGCGUCCGCAGGUGGUUUAUCAAGUCUGCUGUCAAAGCGCGAGGCUUAACUUCGUAAAGGCAGUGGAAACUGAUAGACUGGAGUGCGGUAGGGGCAGAGGGAAUUCCCAGUGUAGCGGUGAAAUGCGUAGAUAUUGGGAAGAACACCCGUGGCGAAGGCGGCUCUCUGGUACGUGACUGACGCUGAGACGCGAAAGCGUGGGGAGCGAACAGG